AAUGAACGCUGGCGGCGUGCCUAACACGUGCAAGUCGAACGAGAAAGCCCGCGAGGGUAAGUAGAGUGGCGAACGAGUGAGUAAUGAAUAGGAACGUACCUAUGGGUGGGGGAUAACCAAGGGAAACUUUGGCUAGUACCGCAUAUCAUCGCGAGACGAAAGUAGGCGUCGGGCAACCGGGCUUUCGCCGCUAGAGCGGCCGAUUUCCCAUUAGCUAGUUGGCGGGGUAAAGGCCCACCAAGGCUACGAUGGGUAGCUGGUCUGAGAGGACGAUCAGCCACACUGGAACUGAGACACGGUCCAGACUCCUACGGGAGGGAGCAGUGGGGAAUCUUGCACAAUGGGCGAAAGCCUGAUCCAGCCACUCCGCGUGAGUGAAGAAGGCCUUCGGGUUGUAAAGCUCUUUCGGCAGGGAAGAAACGCUCUGGGAUAAUACUCCGGGGUAAUGACGGUACCUGAAGAAGAAGUACCGGCUAACUACGUGCCAGCCGCCGCAGUAA
rnacentral:rRNA from 1 species